rnacentral:rRNA from 1 species
UCGGGAAUUUUGGGCAAUGGGCGAAAGCCUGACCCAGCAACGCCGCGUGAGGGAUGAAGUAUUUCGGUAUGUAAACCUCGAAAGAAUGGGAAGAAUAAAUGACGGUACCAUUUAUAAGCUCCGGCUAACUACGUGACAGCAGCCGCGGUAAUACGUAGGGAGCAAGCGGUGUUCGGAUUUACUGGGCGUAAAGGGCGCGUAGGCGGCGCGGUAAGUCACUUGUGAAAUCUCUGAGCUUAACCCAGAACGGCCAAGUGAUACUGCUGUGCUAGAGUGCGGAAGAGGCAACCGGAAUUCUUGGUGUAGCGGUGAAAUGAGUAGAGAUCAAGAGGAACACCUGAGGCGAAGGCGGGUUGCUGGGCCGACACUGACGCUGAUGCGCGAAAGCCAGGGGAGCAAACG